rnacentral:rRNA from 1 species
AUUGAACGCUGGCGGCAUGCCUUACACAUGCAAGUCGAACGGCAGCACGGGAGCAAUCCUGGUGGCGAGUGGCGAACGGGUGAGUAAUAUAUCGGAACGUGCCCAGUCGUGGGGAUAACGUAGCGAAAGCUACGCUAAUACCGCAUACGAUCUAUGGAUGAAAGCGGGGGAUCGCAAGACCUCGCGCGAUUGGAGCGGCCGAUAUCAGAUUAGGUAGUUGGUGAGGUAAAGGCUCACCAAGCCGACGAUCUGUAGCUGGUCUGAGAGGACGACCAGCCACACUGGGACUGAGACACGGCCCAGACUCCUACGGGAGGCAGCAGUGGGGAAUUUUGGACAAUGGGCGCAAGCCUGAUCCAGCAAUGCCGCGUGCAGGAUGAAGGCCUUCGGUUGUAACUGCUUUGUUACGGAACGAACGGUAGAGCUCUAAUACAGUUGCUAAUGACGGUACCGUAAGAAUAAGCA